UACGGGGGGGGCAAGCGUUGUUCGGAAUUACUGGGCGUAAAGGGCUCGUAGGUGGCCAACUAAGUCAGACGUGAAAUCCCUCGGCUUAACCGGGGAACUGCGUCUGAUACUGGAUGGCUUGAGUUUGGGAGAGGGACGCGGAAUUCCAGGUGUAGCGGUGAAAUGCGUAGAUAUCUGGAGGAAUACCGGUGGCGAAGGCGGCCUGCUGGGCAGUUGCUGACACUGAGGCGCGACAGCGUGGGGAGCAAACAGG
rnacentral:rRNA from 1 species